rnacentral:rRNA from 1 species
GACGAACGCUGGCGGCGUGCUUAACACAUGCAAGUCGAACGGAAAGGCCCUGCUUUUGUGGGGUGCUCGAGUGGCGAACGGGUGAGUAACACGUGAGUAACCUGCCCUUGACUUUGGGAUAACUUCAGGAAACUGGGGCUAAUACCGGAUAGGAGCUCCUGCUGCAUGGUGUGGGUUGGAAAGUUUCGGCGGUUGGGGAUGGACUCGCGGCUUAUCAGCUUGUUGGUGGGGUAGUGGCUUACCAAGGCUUUGACGGGUAGCCGGCCUGAGAGGGUGACCGGCCACAGUGGGACUGAGAUACGGCCCAGAAUCCUACGGGAGGCAGCAGUGGGGAAUAUUGAACAAUGGGCGGAAGCCUGAUGCAGAAACGCCGCGUGCGGGAUGACGGCCUUAGGGGUGUAAACCGCUUUCGCAUGUGACGAAGCGUGAGUGACGGUAAUGGGUAAAGAAGCACCGGCUAACUACGUG